AGGUGGAGCGAAUCUCAAAAAGCCGGUCUCAGUUCGGAUUGGGGUCUGCAACUCGACCCCAUGAAGUCGGAGUCGCUAGUAAUCGCAGAUCAGCAUUGCUGCGGUGAAUACGUUCCCGGGCCUUGUACACACCGCCCGUCACGUCACGAAAGUCGGUAACACCCGAAGCCGGUGGCCCAACCCCUUGUCGGGGAGGGAGCUGUCGAAGGUGGGACUGGCGAUUGGGACGAAGUCGUAACAAGGUAGCCGUACCGGAAGGUGCG
rnacentral:ncRNA from 1 species